rnacentral:rRNA from 1 species
UUUAGAGGAAUUUGUCCUGUAAUUGAUAAUCCACGAUUUUAAUUACUUAAUCUAUAAGUUUACAUAUCGCCGUAAUAGAAUAUUUUAUUAGAAUAUUAAUAUUCAAGAUUUUUUAUUAAAUUAUAAAUCAGGUCAAGGUGUAGUUUAUGGUUAAGAAGAGAUGAAUUACAAUAAAUUUAUUUAAAUGAAUUAUUAUAUGAAAUUAUAAUGUGAAGGUGGAUUUAAAUGUAAUUAUAAAUAUUUAUUUAUAAUGAUUUUAGCUCUAAAGUAUGUACAUAUCGCCCGUCGCUUUCACUAUAAAGUGGAAUAAGUCGUAACAAAGUAGGUGUACUGGAAAGUGUACCUAGAAAGGCAAGUUAGAGCUUGAUAUAAGCAUUUUAUUUACAUUAAAAAGUUUAUUGUGAAAUUCAAUAUGACUUGAAAAUUAAAAAUUAUUAAGAUUUUUUAUUUUUUUAGAUAAAUUUCAUAAUUAAAUUUAGGUUUUAAUAUAUAGAUUAAAAUAAAUUUUUAUAAUUAUAGUUUAUUAGUAUUGUGAAUGAAAUUUUUUAUUUGAUUUAAAGAAGAAUUAAUUUUUCGUACCUUGUGUAUCAGGGUUUAUUAAAUAAGAUUUUUAGUUAAAAAGUUCUCGAAUUUAAAAGAGCUAAUUUUAUAUAUUUUUUAUUGUAAAAUAAAUAUUAAUAAUAUAAAGUUAGUAAUGAAAUGUUAAUCGAUUUUAAUUAUAUCUAGUUUUUUAAGAAAAAAGUUUAAUUUUUUUAUUUGUUUAAUAAUAUUUUAAAUUAUUAAUUUAUUAUUUACGAGUAGGUUAUAUUUUAAGGGAUGAGCUUUAAAUUAAAUAAUUAUAAAUUAAUAUAUUUGGUUUAAUAAUAAGUAGGAUUGAAAAUGUCAAUUUUUAUAAAAAUGUUAUAAUUAAUUUUUUAUUAAUUAAGAUUUGUAUUAGUUUUAAGUUUUUUAUUAAAAUAUUUAAUUUAAUAAUGUAUUUAAAUUAACAAUGAUAAAAUUAGUAUAUAGUUAUAAAUGUUUAUUUUAUUUAAAUUAUAAGGUUAUUUAAAGGAACUCGGCAAAUUUAUUUCCACCAAAAACAUGUCUUUUUGAUAAUAAUUUAAAGUCUAACCUGCCCAAUGAAAAAUUUAAUGGCCGCGGUAUUUUAACCGUGCAAAGGUAGCAUAAUCAUUAGUUUUUUAAUUGAAAGCUUGUAUGAAUGGUUGAAUGAGAAAAAUACUGUCUCUAAAUAAUUUUUAGAAUUUUAUUUUUAAGUUAAAAAGCUUAAAUAAAAUUAAAAGACGAGAAGACCCUAUAGAGUUUUAUAAAAAUUUUUAUUAUUAUUAUUUAGAAUUAAUUAUUUAAUAAAAAUUUUUAUUUAAUUGGGGUGAUUAAAAAAUAUAUUAAACUUUUUUUUAAAAAAUACAUUAAUUUAUGAAUAAUUGAUCCUUAAUUUAAGAUUAAAAGAAAAAAUUACCUUAGGGAUAACAGCGUAAUUUUUUUUGAGAGUUCAAAUCGAAAAAAAAGGUUGCGACCUCGAUGUUGGAUUAAAAUUAAUUUUUGGUGUAGAAGCUAAAAGUGGGGGGUCUGUUCGACCCUUAAAAUUUUACUUGAUCUGAGUUCAAACCGGUGUGAGCCAGGUUGGUUUCUAUCUUUAAUAAAUAUAAUAUUUUAGUACGAAAGGACCAAAUAUUAAAUUUAAAAUUUUUAAAUAGAUAAAUAUUAAAUUAUUAUUUUGGCAGAUUAGUGCGAUAGGUUUAGAACUUAUAUAUGUAAUAUUUACAAAUAAUACUUGUUAAAAGAUACUUUUUUAAUAUUAAUUUCUAGAUUGUUAUUAGUAAUUUGUGUUAUAGUAGGAG